CCUACGGGGAGCAGCAGUGGGGAAUAUUGGUCAAUGGGCGAGAGCCUGAACCAGCCAAGUCGCGUGAGUGAGUACUGCCCUAUGGGUUGUAAACCUCUUUUGUCGGGGAGCAAAAGCCGGACGUGUCCGGCUGUGAGAGUACCCGAAGAAAAAGCAUCGGCUAACUCCGUGCCAGCAGCCGCGGUAAUACUGGGUAUGCGAGCGUUAUCCGGAUUUAUGGGGUUUAAAGGGUGCGGACGCGGAAGAUCAAGUCAGCGGGAAAAUUGAGCGGCUCAAACUCGUCGAGCCGUUGAAACUGGUUUUCUUGAGUGAGCGAGAAGUAUGCGGAAUGCGUGGUGUAGCGGUGAAAUGCAUAGAUAUCACGCAGAACUCCGAUUGCGAAGGCAGCAUACCGGCGCUCAACUGACGCUCAUGCACGAAAGUGUGGGUAUCGAACAGGAUUAGAUACCCGGGUAGUC
rnacentral:rRNA from 1 species